rnacentral:rRNA from 1 species
UUUUUUCUUGUAGCAAUACAAGGAAAAGUCUAGCGGCGAACGGGUGCUUAACACGUGGGCAACCUGCCGGGAAGUGGGGGAUAGCUCGCCGAAAGGCGAAUUAAUACCGCAUGUGAUCAGAGUGGACAUCCAUUCAAAAUCAAAGUCGGGGCAACCUGACGCUUCUUGUGGGGCCCGCGGCCUAUCAGCUAGUUGGUGAGGUAACGGCUCACCAAGGCGAUGACGGGUAGCUGGUCUGAGAGGACGACCAGCCACACUGGGACUGAGACACGGCCCAGACACCUACGGGUGGCAGCAGUCGAGAAUUUUUCUCAAUGGGGGAAACCCUGAAGGAGCGACGCCGCGUGGAGGAUGAAGGUCUUCGGAUUGUAAACUCCUGUCAUUGGGGAACAAGUCGCUUACGUUAACUGCGUGAGCGUUGAUAGUACCCGAAGAGGAAGAGACGGCUAACUCUGUGCCAGCAGCCGCGGUAAUACAGAGGUCUCAAGCGUUGUUCGGAUUCAUUGGGCGUAAAGGGUGCGUAGGCGGCGCGGUAAGUCGGGUGUGAAAUCUCGGAGCUUAACUCCGAAACUGCAUUCGAUACUGCCGUGCUUGAGGACUGGAGAGGAGACUGGAAUUUACGGUGUAGCGGUGAAAUGCGUAGAUAUCGUAAGGAAGACCAGUGGCGAAGGCGGGUCUCUGGACAGUUCCUGACGCUGAGGCACGAAGGCCAGGGGAGCAAACGGGAUUAGAUACCCCGGUAGUCCUGGCAGUAAACGGUGCACGUUUGGUGUGGGAGGAUUCGACCCCUUCUGCGCCGGAGCUAACGCGUUAAACGUG